AAAGAGAAGGAAGGAGGGGGAGAACAUGGAUAGCAAAGGGUCAGAGAAGGAUUAUUAAGAAUUGAAUCUACAUGUGAAUGGGAAACAUAUAAUGAAAAAAGACCAAAAAUUUUUUAAAAAGGAAAUAAAGUUGUUCAGUCCCGGCUGACUCUUUGUGACCUCAUUUGGGGUUUUCUUGGUAAAGAUACUAGAGUGCUUGGCCAUUUCCUUCUCCAGCUGGUUUUUUACAGAUGAGGAACUGAGGCAAACAGGGUUAAGUGACUUGCCCGGGGUUACACAGUAUCCGCACCUGGUUUGAACUAGUCUUUCUGACUCUAGGCUUGGCACUGUAUCCACUAUGCUGCGCAGCUGCCCACCUGGCACAUGGUAGGCGAUAAAGAUGACUGAGACAUUCCAGUUUUUUGCUUAUCUUUAAAGUCAUCUCUGUAUAAAUCUAAAUUUAUAAGGAAGAAAGAGGCAUUGCUUGAAACUGCAGUCUGAGAGGUUUGAAUGAGGAAGGUUAGAUUUCCUGGCAAGGUUGCAAUAAUUGAGUAAGGUAAAAAACGUAAGAAGAUAGAGGAAGUUUCUUCUCUACAGUUGUUGCUUUUUUUUUUUAACCCUUAGGAAUCAAUACUGUGUAUUGGUUCCAAGGCAGAAAAAUGGCAAGGGCUAGGCAAUGGGAGUCAAGUGACUUGCCCAGGGUCACACAGCUGGGAAAUGUCUGAGGCCAGAUUUGAACCUAGGACCUCCUGUCUCUAGGCCUGGCUCUCCAUCCACUGAGCUACCCAGCUGCCCCACCCUAAGAGGUGUUGGCCACACACAAAGUGUCAUCUCAUCUCUGGGCCCCUGAAAGGCCGUGCCCCCCUCCAAGCUCAGUUCGAAUUCAAAUCCACCUCUUUCACAAAGUCUCAACAGAUUCUCCCACACCAGGGGAUCAGGAACCAAAGUUUGACAGGUAACUCAGAAGGAGGGAACGGAUACAGAGGAACACCGCUUCCCUCUCAGGCAGAGCUGUCCCAUUGAAAAUGGAGUUGAAUCUCUGACCAGAGCUGAAGGAAAAAAGGUGAACACACCAAAACAAACCAGAAACCACAUCUGACAUCAUGCUCCAAAAAUUUAGUGGAGGAAGAAAUCUCUUCAGGCUGGGGGAUAAUCCAGAAGACUUCCUGGAAGAGAAGCUUUGUAAACCUGCCCUUAAAGGCUGAGUAAGAUUUCAACUUGUAGAGAUGGAAAAACCAUUCCAGAUGAAGUAAAAUGCAUUAGCAUUAGAAUGGAUGAUGAAAAGUGGGGCAUGUUCUGGGAAUGCCCAGAAGCUUUGCUUGUGUGCUCAGGCCUGAGAGGUACCAAGGGGGAUAAUAAAGAAAUAGGAUUAAAUUCA
rnacentral:lncRNA from 1 species